CCUACGGGAGGCAGCAGUAGGGAAUAUUGCUCAAUGGGGGAAACCCUGAAGCAGCAACGCCGCGUGGAGGAUGAAGGUUUUCGGAUUGUAAACUCCUUUUGUUAGAGAAGAGAAUGACGGUAUCUAACGAAUAAGCACCGGCUAACUCCGUGCCAGCAGCCGCGGUAAUACGGAGGGUGUAAGCGUUACUCGGAAUCACUGGGCGUAAAGAGCGCGUAGGCGGGAUAGCAAGUCAGAUGUGAAAUCCUAGGGCUUAACCAUAGAACUGCAUUUGAAACGGUUAUUCUAGAGUAUGGGAGAGGUAGGUGGAAUUCUUGGUGUAGGGGUCAUAUCCGUAGAGAUCAAGCGGAAUACUCAUUGCGAAGGCGACCUGCUAGAACAUACCUGACGCUGAUGCGCGAAAGCGUG
rnacentral:rRNA from 1 species